CGACGCCUCACUCCCACCAGCCCUUCGCUCCUCAAGCCUGUUCAAGGAAAGAAGUGAAUGUGCUUCAGCUGUGGGAGAGCCCGAGCUGGCCCCGGGCCAAAUGGGCAAAAUAGGCUUUAGCCAGAACUGUGGAGAGAGAGGGAAAGAGAGCCCGGGCCAGAGGCGGUUCAUUCUGGAAGCAGCACAGACCGGCGGGCCUUUCUACCCACAGGUCCGGCUAGAGCCUGGAAUGGCCACACCACCUGUUACAGCAAGGAGCAUCUACCAGACACCCUGCCCAGAGAGCAGAGAAGAUGCACCGUUCCGUCUUCCACCAUCUGCUUGUCUUGUUUCAAGAUGACAGGUGUCUCUGGCUCCUUUGGGAGUGAUCUUAAGUCGACGGAAAUCAUUCAGGUUCUUCAAACACAGCGGGACGGAGUGGGAAGAAGAUGCGCCGUGAUUUGGACAGGCUUGAGUCAAACCCUUCCUGGGUGCACGGCCUCCGGCAGGCCCCAGGCCUUCUGUGAGCCUCAUGCUCUGUGUCUGUAGAUGAGGCUGACGAUUCUCACGUUAGGACGUGAUGUGGGGAGCAUCGGAGGGUGAGCACUGAGUGCCCGGGGGUAGCAGCCAGGCACCAGUGCGAGCUGUCGAUGGUAGAACAGUGCUGAGUGUUCCAGUGAAGACACACGCAGCUGCUUGGCCAGUCUCAUCCGACCUGAGCACAGAAGCAGAGAGCAAGGAGGCUUCUGCUUCUCAGUUGGGCUCGUCUUUCCGCGGAUGCGCUCUCUACUACAUACGUGUAGACUCAGCUUUCCAAGGGACUCUGCAUUUUAAUUUGACGGAUUUUAGCAACUUGUAUUGCCUCUGUGAGCCUCAUUUAAUUAUUUUACAAAUACCCAUCCACCUACCAGCACAGAGGAUUCCAUUUUCCAGGCCUGCCUCUCCGAUGGGUGGAGAAGGGGAGUGUGAGAGGGGCGUCUGAGGGGCUCCGCGGUUGAACCUCUGACUCUUGCUUUGGGCUCAGGUCGUGAUCUCAGGGUCCCGGGGUCGAGCCCUGCCCUUGGUGCUGAAUCUGCUUGAGACGAACUCUCCCUGACCCUCUACCUUUCCCCUGAUCAUGC
rnacentral:lncRNA from 1 species